GCCUGGAUAGCUCAGUUGGUUAGAGCAUGGUGCUGAUAAUGCCAAGGCUGCAAGUUUGAUCCCUGUAUGGGACA
rnacentral:tRNA from 1 species